CCUAAAGGUGGGCAGCAUUGCAAAAACUGAGUUUUAGAGAUGAACAGAUUCCAAAGCUCAGAGGGAAACUCAUCUGACAACAUUGGGUUUGGGGUCAAAGAUGCGCAAAUCCACAAUUUCCAAGUUUCAACAUGGUUUCCACUCCACCGCAAAAAAAUUCAGUCUAGGUUCACUGUCAAAACUCAGCACAGGUUUGCUUGAAACCUUACCCAGGAUUGAGGAAAUGUUCACAAAUCUCAGGACCCCUGGAAUUUACGGAAGAGAAAGGAUG